CAAGAACUAAAUCAUUAGUCACAGAAAACUAUCUUUGAGACCGAACCCCACAAACUUCUCAUAUCAUCUCUCACCUCCUCUUUCACGCCCCACCUUCCGCCACCGCCGGAAAUUGCCCAUAGCGGCGGCCAGUCUCCAAAUAGCCCUUAAAUUUCACCCUAUAUUCCCCAACUCCUCUUCCAUCCAAACCUCUUGCCAAUAUCCCCAAAAUCCCCAUCAAAAUCAAUAAAUUUUAGAUCUCGAAAUAUCAGAAAAUCGAUUCUUUCCUUUGUUCAUUGCUCGAUCAUUUCGGCUUGGUUACGGCCAAAACUUACUUCAAUGGAAAGCUCUUGACAAGUGCUAUAUAUUUAUGUAAGAGGUGGGUCAUUUAUCAGUGGCCGGAUUUUGGUCAACCGGUGUUUGACCGGUCGGAGCCGUCUGGAGAUUCCUUCUGUCGUUUCUUUUGAGCUCGUUAGGGGAGACUGGUCCUAAUUUGUUGUUAGUUUGAUAACCAACACUCAUGGCCAAUAUAGUUCCCAAGGAUAAUCCAGUGGCUUAGUUUUUCUUGUAAAUUAGAAGAUCGCUGGAGUUUGUGAAAGCUAAAAUUGGCUAGUACUGUAAAGUUGGAUGUCACUAUAAUGUUUAUUCAUUGUUAGUGUUGUAAUGAACUUGAACACUUCCAAUUACUGGCUAUGUAUGUAAUAAACUGAAUAAUUUCCUAGUUCAUUCUGGCUGAAAGUAAAAGUGAUUGUUGGGCCCUGUCA